GGACGCGCUCCGGCGCACCUCCAGACAACCCUUUGUGAACUUAUACCUAUACUGUUGCCUCGGCGUCAGGCUGGCUCCCCUCGGGGGGUCCCUCACCAUCUCGGUGAGGAGCAGGCCCGCCGGCGGCCAAGUUAACUCUUGUUUUUACACUGAAACUCUGAGAAUAAAACAAAAAUGAAUCAAAACUUUCAACAACGGAUCUCUUGGUUCUGGCAUCGAUGAAGAACGCAGCGAAAUGCGAUAAGUAAUGUGAAUUGCAGAAUUCAGUGAAUCAUCGAAUCUUUGAACGCACAUUGCGCCCUCUGGUAUUCCGGAGGGCAUGCCUGUUCGAGCGUCAUUUCAACCCUCAAGCCUGGCUUGGUGAUGGGACACUGCCUUUGAGAAAAGGCAGGUCCUGAAAUUCAGUGGCGAGCUCGCCAGGACCCCGAGCGCAGUAGUUAAACCCUCGCUUUGGAAGGUCUUGGUGCGGCCCUGCCGUUAAACCCCCAACUUCUGAAAAUUUGACCUCGGAUCAGGAGGAAACCC
rnacentral:rRNA from 2 species